rnacentral:rRNA from 1 species
GACGAACGCUGGCGGCGUGCUUAACACAUGCAAGUCGAACGGAAAGGCCCUGCCUGCCGGGUACUCGAGUGGCGAACGGGUGAGUAACACGUGGGUGAUCUGCCCUGCACUUCGGGAUAAGCCUGGGAAACUGGGUCUAAUACCGGAUAGGAGCCAUUUUUAGUGUGAUGGUUGGAAAGUUUUUUCGGUGUAGGAUGAGCUCGCGGCCUAUCAGCUUGUUGGUGGGGUAAUGGCCUACCAAGGCGGCGACGGGUAGCCGGCCUGAGAGGGUGGACGGCCACAUUGGGACUGAGAUACGGCCCAGACUCCUACGGGAGGCAGCAGUGGGGAAUAUUGCACAAUGGGCGCAAGCCUGAUGCAGCGACGCCGCGUGGGGGAUGACGGCCUUCGGGUUGUAAACUCCUUUCGCUAGGGACGAAGCUUUUUGUGACGGUACCUAGAUAAGAAGCACCGGCUAACUACGUG